AUGCAGUGUUUCCUUCUAUACCAACAGUGAACGUUUAAACCUUUUAUACAACAUGUAAACCUUUUUAAAUGAUGGAAAACCAAAGAAAUUGCAGGACCUGGAGGAUUUUUCUGAAGAACUGUGGUCAUUUUAACUGUUCAGGACAAACAAGAGACUCGCAAACAACUAUAACGAAACAAAAAAACUGUUGUGAAUCAUCUAUGAAACGACACAGCAUUAAGAAUCAAGCAUAUGUAAACUUUUGAAGGGGGUCAUUUUCAUAAAUUCAGCUAUUUUGUCUUUUUGGACUAUAUGUGAACAUCUUUUAAGUAAAAUAUCUUAUUCAGGCCAGUACUAAAUAAAAUAAUGCUGUAAGUAUGUAUGUAGUAAGUCAACAGAUUCUCCUUAGCAAUCUCCAUCUCCAGUGUAGUGUGAGGAAAUAUUGCGCUCUGCAGACUUACACUGAUAGAUAUGAGGUGAAAUUCAGGUCUACAGCAUCACAUUGGCCUCUUGGGAGGUGGUAGCUGAAUUUAUGUAACUACCCGUAUGGUUCGAUGCGGCACACAAGCGUCCGAAUGUUUUCACCAUACAACGAGCUCAUCCGUUAUUCUUUCUCACCCCUCAAGGCAGAAAGAAGAAAUUCAGUGCCCUCUUGCCCAGUUCGGCUCAUUAAAAAUGGAUCAAUUGAUUCCCAAGGCUGUCUUGGCUGUCCCAAGUUGCCUAAUCAUACGUGACGCCCACUGGGGGUGGAGCAAACCGAGCUCAAGAUUUCAAUAUUAGGGUAUAUAAAAAAACGCAUAAUAAUGUAGACCCUACAUAAGAGCAUAGUAAGAACCAUAAUAUUACUCUGCUGGAACUCUGAGGUUGUGAUGUAAUCGUGGUUUCCAUGGUAAUUUCGCCUAGGGAUUCUUGCAUAUUUAAUUAAAAAAAAAAGCUUUGGGGUGGUUCUUUUUGGUUUUAGCUGAUUUGCAUUUUUGUGAAUAAUGCAUGAUGGGAAAUCAAUGCUCUCUCUUUGAUGCCAAGGAGGAAAACAGCACACACACACACACACACAGAGAGUUACCUGGCAUUCAGCGCCAACAGGCACAUAUGGGCCUAUUUACACACGGAGGCUUACUCAACACCACUGCCUCGAAAGACGAGACGAGAACGCAAGGAAAAAAACGACAAAAGGCAUUUCCCCAAACCAUUAUCCACUUCGGGCAGAGAAGUGCGCUGAGACGAGCGCUAUGCUAAUCUCUCAACUGCACACUCAGCAACACACACACAGAUCCAUCACACACGGAGAGCUGACAAUCACACACACACAUCCCACACUGAAUACAAGCAAACACCUACACCGUCUUUUCUGCAGGAUACACACUAGACCACGCAAACAUCUGUCCUAUAUGGACGCACACACAAACAUAUACCCCAGGCCCACACAUGGCACAAAAUUAGCAUUUAGCUACACCUGCCAAUGGCAGAUGAACUGAGAAAAUGUACCGUUAAUAAGCACUUUUCCUGGCCAUGAAUCUGUUUUCUGCUCUAUUUUCUUAAAUUAUAAAUAUAUAUUGUUGUUCCUAUGACAACAGAAUUAUUUAGCUGUUUUCCAAUGUAUAUUAGCAACAAACAACAGUUCAUUGUGUCUCUCAACUGUAUAAACAUUGAGGCCCAUCAUGAUUUUCCUUGUAUUUUCAUUUAUUGCGUCCAAACACAAAUCUUCACUUGAGUUAUGACAACAAACAAAACGGCUUCCUAGCUAAACGUUGUUUCCAAUGAGAAGUAAUUUAUCUGUCCACGCUAUCCCCCAACCCUUGCGGGUGCGUUUAUUAUUAAUUUGGCUAAUUUGAUGAUUUAUUUUCAGCUCAGUUUAAGACAUUUCACCAUAUUUAAAACGACUCCAGAGAAGUCUGCCAAUUUCCC
rnacentral:lncRNA from 12 species